GAUGAACGCUGGCGGCGUGCCUAAUACAUGCAAGUCGAGCGAACAGACGAGGAGCUUGCUCCUCUGACGUUAGCGGCGGACGGGUGAGUAACACGUGGAUAACCUACCUAUAAGACUGGGAUAACUUCGGGAAACCGGAGCUAAUACCGGAUAACAUGUUGAACCGCAUGGUUCAACAGUGAAAGACGGUUUUGCUGUCACUUAUAGAUGGAUCCGCGUCGCAUUAGCUAGUUGGUAAGGUAACGGCUUACCAAGGCAACGAUGCGUAGCCGACCUGAGAGGGUGAUCGGCCACACUGGAACUGAGACACGGUCCAGACUCCUACGGGAGGCAGCAGUAGGGAGUCUUCCGCAAUGGGCGAAAGCCUGACGGAGCAACGCCGCGUGAGUGAAGAAGGUCUUCGGAUCGUAAAACUCUGUUAUUAGGGAAGAACAAAUGUGUAAGUAACUAUGCACGUCUUGACGGUACCUAAUCAGAAAGCCACGGCUAACUACGUG
rnacentral:rRNA from 1 species